UGGCGGACGGGUGGGGAGUGUCUGGGAAACUGCCUGAUGGAGGGGGAUAACUACUGGAAACGGUAGCUAAUACCGCAUAACGUCGCAAGACCAAAGAGGGGGACCUUCGGGCCUCUUGCCAUCGGAUGUGCCCAGAUGGGAUUAGCUAGUAGGUGGGGUAACGGCUCACCUAGGCGACGAUCCCUAGCUGGUCUGAGAGGAUGACCAGCCACACUGGAACUGAGACACGGUCCAG
rnacentral:rRNA from 1 species